UAACAUUCUAUGCCCUGUUGU
rnacentral:piRNA from 1 species